AUAAUAAAUAAAUGAGUACUUUUAGUAAAUAACGUUAAUACAUUUCGGUUUUAUUAAAAUAAAACAGAAACGUGAAAAUAAAUAUCAAAAGAUACGAAAUUUCAGAAUUAAACUUCAACAAGUGAAUUUUUUACAGAGCGGAAGAGAAAAAGCAAGGAAGUUUGAUGAAGUCUGGCAAAACAAAUUGAAAGUCAGGGUCACCACAAUAUUCAGUGAAAUAUGUUCAAACCAAAGAUAUUUUUUGAAACUGUAUAAAUCUGUCAUUAUAACAUAUUAUAUUUAUUAUAACGUAUAUUGACAUUGAAUUGAUAUGAAGAGCAUUCUGGUAUAGCACGACUAUUCAAGCUGUCCAUAAAAGAAAAGGGUCAGAGAUAGAAAAUGUCAUGCGGAAUAUAAAAAAGAACAAUAAACGUAAAAAGAUAUUGGUCUGUUUUGAUGGAACGACAACUGUAUCAGUCAUAGAUGGAAACUCGAUUAAUGGCUAACAGGUUGGAAAAAUAGGAUAAAUUUUUCAGUUUUUCAAAUUUUAUUGCUUGUUCAUGUGUUAUAUACUUCAGAGACUGAAUUUCAGAUUAUAAGAUUGACAGAUUAAUAUUACAAGACUAACAGCGUUUCAAUAGUUUUCCAUAACAACACAUGCGAUAAAUUAUUUUGGUUAAUUAUGCCUUAACGACGAUAAUAAAUAAUGUCACGAUUAUAAUUUAUUAAUUUGUUAUUAAAUUAAUAUAAUUUGUUAAAUAAAUAAUCAAGUUAUAUUAAAUAGGAUAAAAUAUAUGAAAAGAUCGAUUUUGUUGAAGUAUAUUAAAAAUUAGACCAGAUACAGAAUUAAAGAUAAUUAUGAUGAAAACUCGAUUAAUAGAUAAAACGUUGGAAAAUAAGUUGUUUUAUUAUUUAUCCAAGUGCCUCAAAAACUGAAUACCAGAUCAUGAAAUUAAUUGACAGAUUGAUAUUACGA